rnacentral:rRNA from 1 species
GGUUAAGCGACUAAGCGUACACGGUGGAUGCCCUGGCAGUCAGAGGCGAUGAAGGACGUGCUAAUCUGCGAUAAGCGUCGGUAAGGUGAUAUGAACCGUUAUAACCGGCGAUUUCCGAAUGGGGAAACCCAGUGUGUUUCGACACACUAUCAUUAACUGAAUCCAUAGGUUAAUGAGGCGAACCGGGGGAACUGAAACAUCUAAGUACCCCGAGGAAAAGAAAUCAACCGAGAUUCCCCCAGUAGCGGCGAGCGAACGGGGAGCAGCCCAGAGCCUGAAUCAGUGUGUGUGUUAGUGGAAGCGUCUGGAAAGGCGCGCGAUACAGGGUGACAGCCCCGUACACAAAAAUGCACAUGCUGUGAGCUCGAUGAGUAGGGCGGGACACGUGGUAUCCUGUCUGAAUAUGGGGGGACCAUCCUCCAAGGCUAAAUACUCCUGACUGACCGAUAGUGAACCAGUACCGUGAGGGAAAGGCGAAAAGAACCCCGGCGAGGGGAGUGAAAAAGAACCUGAAACCGUGUACGUACAAGCAGUGGGAGCACGCUUAGGCGUGUGACUGCGUACCUUUUGUAUAAUGGGUCAGCGACUUAUAUUCUGUAGCAAGGUUAACCGAAUAGGGGAGCCGAAGGGAAACCGAGUCUUAACUGGGCGUUAAGUUGCAGGGUAUAGACCCGAAACCCGGUGAUCUAGCCAUGGGCAGGUUGAAGGUUGGGUAACACUAACUGGAGGACCGAACCGACUAAUGUUGAAAAAUUAGCGGAUGACUUGUGGCUGGGGGUGAAAGGCCAAUCAAACCGGGAGAUAGCUGGUUCUCCCCGAAAGCUAUUUAGGUAGCGCCUCGUGAAUUCAUCUCCGGGGGUAGAGCACUGUUUCGGCAAGGGGGUCAUCCCGACUUACCAACCCGAUGCAAACUGCGAAUACCGGAGAAUGUUAUCACGGGAGACACACGGCGGGUGCUAACGUCCGUCGUGAAGAGGGAAACAACCCAGACCGCCAGCUAAGGUCCCAAAGUCAUGGUUAAGUGGGAAACGAUGUGGGAAGGCCCAGACAGCCAGGAUGUUGGCUUAGAAGCAGCCAUCAUUUAAAGAAAGCGUAAUAGCUCACUGGUCGAGUCGGCCUGCGCGGAAGAUGUAACGGGGCUAAACCAUGCACCGAAGCUGCGGCAGCGACGCUGAUGCGUUGCUGGGUAGGGGAGCGUUCUGUAAGCCUGCGAAGGUGUGCUGUGAGGCAUGCUGGAGGUAUCAGAAGUGCGAAUGCUGACAUAAGUAACGAUAAAGCGGGUGAAAAGCCCGCUCGCCGGAAGACCAAGGGUUCCUGUCCAACGUUAAUCGGGGCAGGGUGAGUCGACCCCUAAGGCGAGGCCGAAAGGCGUAGUCGAUGGGAAACAGGUUAAUAUUCCUGUACUUGGUGUUACUGCGAAGGGGGGACGGAGAAGGCUAUGUUGGCCGGGCGACGGUUGUCCCGGUUUAAGCGUGUAGGCUGGUUUUCCAGGCAAAUCCGGAAAAUCAAGGCUGAGGCGUGAUGACGAGGCACUACGGUGCUGAAGCAACAAAUGCCCUGCUUCCAGGAAAAGCCUCUAAGCAUCAGGUAACAUCAAAUCGUACCCCAAACCGACACAGGUGGUCAGGUAGAGAAUACCAAGGCGCUUGAGAGAACUCGGGUGAAGGAACUAGGCAAAAUGGUGCCGUAACUUCGGGAGAAGGCACGCUGAUAUGUAGGUGAAGUCCCUUGCGGAUGGAGCUGAAAUCAGUCGAAGAUACCAGCUGGCUGCAACUGUUUAUUAAAAACACAGCACUGUGCAAACACGAAAGUGGACGUAUACGGUGUGACGCCUGCCCGGUGCCGGAAGGUUAAUUGAUGGGGUCAGCGCAAGCGAAGCUCUUGAUCGAAGCCCCGGUAAACGGCGGCCGUAACUAUAACGGUCCUAAGGUAGCGAAAUUCCUUGUCGGGUAAGUUCCGACCUGCACGAAUGGCGUAAUGAUGGCCAGGCUGUCUCCACCCGAGACUCAGUGAAAUUGAACUCGCUGUGAAGAUGCAGUGUACCCGCGGCAAGACGGAAAGACCCCGUGAACCUUUACUAUAGCUUGACACUGAACAUUGAGCCUUGAUGUGUAGGAUAGGUGGGAGGCUUAGAAGUGUGGACGCCAGUCUGCAUGGAGCCGACCUUGAAAUACCACCCUUUAAUGUUUGAUGUUCUAACGUUGACCCGUAAUCCGGGUUGCGGACAGUGUCUGGUGGGUAGUUUGACUGGGGCGGUCUCCUCCUAAAGAGUAACGGAGGAGCACGAAGGUUGGCUAAUCCUGGUCGGACAUCAGGAGGUUAGUGCAAUGGCAUAAGCCAGCUUGACUGCGAGCGUGACGGCGCGAGCAGGUGCGAAAGCAGGUCAUAGUGAUCCGGUGGUUCUGAAUGGAAGGGCCAUCGCUCAACGGAUAAAAGGUACUCCGGGGAUAACAGGCUGAUACCGCCCAAGAGUUCAUAUCGACGGCGGUGUUUGGCACCUCGAUGUCGGCUCAUCACAUCCUGGGGCUGAAGUAGGUCCCAAGGGUAUGGCUGUUCGCCAUUUAAAGUGGUACGCGAGCUGGGUUUAGAACGUCGUGAGACAGUUCGGUCCCUAUCUGCCGUGGGCGCUGGAGAACUGAGGGGGGCUGCUCCUAGUACGAGAGGACCGGAGUGGACGCAUCACUGGUGUUCGGGUUGUCAUGCCAAUGGCACUGCCCGGUAGCUAAAUGCGGAAGAGAUAAGUGCUGAAAGCAUCUAAGCACGAAACUUGCCCCGAGAUGAGUUCUCCCUGACCCUUUAAGGGUCCUGAAGGAACGUUGAAGACGACGACGUUGAUAGGCCGGGUGUGUAAGCGCAGCGAUGCGUUGAGCUAACCGGUACUAAUGAACCGUGAGGCUUAACCUU